rnacentral:rRNA from 1 species
ACGUAGGAGGCAAACGUUAUCCGGAUUUACUGGGCGUAAAGCGCGUGUAGGCGGUUUGGUAAGUAGAGCGUGAAAGCUCCUGGCUCAACUGGGAGAGGGCGUUCUAAACUGCCAGACUAGAGGAUGGUAGAGGUAGGCGGAAUUCCGGGUGUAGCGGUGGAAUGCGCAGAUAUCCGGAGGAACACCAAUGGCGAAAGCGGCCUCCUGGACCACUCCUGACGCUCAGACGCGAAAGCUAGGGUAUCGAACGG